GAGGGUCGCAAGGCCUCCUUUUGUCUUAACCAACCCGCGUACCUAGCCGGAUCAAUCUUCUGCCUCGGCGGCGGCCCCAGGGGGGGCCUCUGCCCGCUGCCGCCUAACCCCGGCAGCGGGUGCCGCCGGCGGCGCCAAAACCAAACCUUACAUCUUCUGAACAGAAAAAGAGAAAACCUAUUA
rnacentral:misc_RNA from 1 species